AUGAGAUUUGCACUUGCCUCUGAUUUUGGAUGCUUUGUUCUUUUGAGUUUUCUGUAUCAGCAGUACUUUGUGUCGGAGGCUUGGCGUGCUCUCCACUGCUCAGAUGCCUUUAGUCGGCGGUCAAUGGAGCGGGUCAUGUCCACUGGAAAAGGCUACGCGCGUGAGCAAUUGAGCAUGUUGGAUCUCUAUUGCUCCUACCUUGCCACUCAUGGAUCAUGUUCACAUCGUUUCUUACACAUUCUUGUAUCAGAGUUAGAUUUUUUGUUAGGCCAACUCCAACGAACGUCCGUUUUGUCCAGAUUAUGA
rnacentral:rRNA from 1 species